rnacentral:rRNA from 1 species
CCUACGGGGGGCUGCAGUGGGGGAUAUUGCACAAUGGAGGAAACUCUGAUGCAGCGACGCCGCGUGAGGGAAGACGGUCUUCGGAUUGUAAACCUCUGUCUGUGGGGAAGAAAAUGACGGUACCCAAAGAGGAAGCGCCGGCUAACUACGUGCCAGCAGCCGCGGUAAUACGGAGGGAGCGAGCGUUGUCCGGAAUUACUGGGUGUAAAGGGAGCGUAGGCGGGAGAGAAAGUUUCAGGUUAAAUCUACCGGCUUAACUGGUAGCUGCGUUUUAAAAUUCUUGUCUUGAGUGAAGGAGAGGCAGGCGGAAUUCCUAGUGUAGCGGUGAAAUGCGUAGAUAGUAGGAAGAACCCCAGUGGCGAAGGCGGCCUUCUGGGCCUUAACUGACGCUGAGGCUCGAAAGCGUGGGGAGCAAACAGGAUUAGAUACCCUAGUAGUC